rnacentral:tRNA from 1 species
AAAAAGGUAAGCUAAUUUAAGCUAAUGGGUUCAUACCAUUUCAGAAGUUUUAAUCCACCCCUUUUUA